ensembl:lncRNA
GGAGGCCUCAGCUUCUCUGGCCUGAGCCAGAGGCCAGAAGAGGGCCUGUGUGCGACAGGAGAGGCGGGAAGACAGAGGGGGCUCUCCAAAGUCCUGACCCAGCCUCAGUCAUCAGGAUGGGAAGACUUGGCCUCUCGCUGGCUUACAUCCGUUCCUGAGAAGAGAAAGCAGACAUCCGGGGAGCCGCGGCUGGACGCCUGGACUCCAAGGCUGCCUUCUGCACCAGCCUGGCUGGGCGUCGAAUGUUACGCGGUCCCGGGCCCAGGAGGACGCAGAUUCUUUGGCGCAUCACUGUAACCCGGCGAAGCGCCCACAG